CUGCGGGGCGUGCCAAACAAUGCAAGUCGAGCGGUAGCACAGAGAGCUUGCUCUCGGGUGACGAGCGGCGGACGGGUGAGUAAUGUCUGGGAAACUGCCUGAUGGAGGGGGAUAACUACUGGAAACGGUAGCUAAUACCGCAUAAUGUCGCAAGACCAAAGUGGGGGACCUUCGGGCCUCAUGCCAUCAGAUGUGCCCAGAUGGGAUUAGCUAGUAGGUGGGGUAACGGCUCACCUAGGCGACGAUCCCUAGCUGGUCUGAGAGGAUGACCAGCCACACUGGAACUGAGACACGGUCCAGACUCCUACGGGAGGCAGCAGUGGGGAAUAUUGCACAAUGGGCGCAAGCCUGAUGCAGCCAUGCCGCGUGUGUGAAGAAGGCCUUCGGGUUGUAAAGCACUUUCAGCGGGGAGGAAGGCGAUAAGGUUAAUAACCUUGUCGAUUGACGUUACCCGCAGAAGAAGCACCGGCUAACUCCGUGCCAGCAGCCGCGGUAAUACGGAGGGUGCAAGCGUUAAUCGGAAUUACUGGGCGUAAAGCGCACGCAGGCGGUCUGUCAAGUCGGAUGUGAAAUCCCCGGGCUCAACCUGGGAACUGCAUUCGAAACUGGCAGGCUAGAGUCUUGUAGAGGGGGGUAGAAUUCCAGGUGUAGCGGUGAAAUGCGUAGAGAUCUGGAGGAAUACCGGUGGCGAAGGCGGCCCCCUGGACAAAGACUGACGCUCAGGUGCGAAAGCGUGGGGAGCAAACAGGAUUAGAUACCCUGGUAGUCCACGCCGUAAACGAUGUCGAUUUGGAGGUUGUGCCCUUGAGCGUGGCUUCCGGAGCUAACGCGUUAAAUCGACCGCCUGGGGAGUACGGCCGCAGGUUAAAACUCAAAUGAAUUGACGGGG
rnacentral:rRNA from 1 species